AGGUAAGCUACUAAGAGCGAAUGGUGGAUGCCUUGACUGGUAAAGGCGAUGAAGGACGUACUAGACUGCGAUAAGCUACGGGGAGCUGUCAAGAAGCUUUGAUCCGUAGAUUUCCGAAUGGGGCAACCCAAUGUAUAGAGAUAUGCAUUACCUAUAUAGGAGCGAACGAGGGGAAUUGAAACAUCUUAGUACCCUCAGGAAAAGAAAUCAAUAGAGAUUGCGUCAGUAGCGGCGAGCGAAAGCGCAAGAGGGCAAACCCAGUGCUUGCACUGGGGGUUGUAGGACUGCAAUGUGCAAGAGGUAAGUUUAGCAGAACAUUCUGGAAAGUAUAACCAUAGAGGGUGAUAGUCCCGUAUGCGAAAAACAAACCUUAGCUAGCAGUAUCCUGAGUAGGGCGGGACACGAGGAAUCCUGUCUGAAUCCGGGUCGACCACGAUCCAACCCUAAAUACUAAUACCAGAUCGAUAGUGCACAAGUACCGUGAGGGAAAGGUGAAAAGAACUGAGGUGAUCAGAGUGAAAUAGAACCUGAAACCAUUUGCUUACAAUCAUUCAGAGCCCUAUGUAGGAAUACAGGGUGAUGGACUGCCUUUUGCAUAAUGAGCCUGCGAGUUGUGGUGUCUGGCAAGGUUAAGCAAACGCGAAGCCGUAGCGAAAGCGAGUCUGAAUAGGGCGCUUAGUCAGAUGCUGCAGACCCGAAACGAAGUGAUCUAUCCAUGAGCAAGUUGAAGCUAGUGUAAGAACUAGUGGAGGACUGAACCCAUAGGCGUUGAAAAGCCCCGGGAUGACUUGUGGAUAGGGGUGAAAGGCCAAUCAAACUUCGUGAUAGCUGGUUCUCUCCGAAAUAUAUUUAGGUAUAGCGUUGUGUCGUAAUAUAAGGGGGUAGAGCACUGAAUGGGCUAGGGCAUACACCAAUGUACCAAACCCUAUCAAACUCCGAAUACCUUAUAUGUAAUCACAGCAGUCAGGCGGCGAGUGAUAAAAUCCGUCGUCAAGAGGGAAACAACCCAGACUACCAGCUAAGGUCCCUAAAUCUUACUUAAGUGGAAAACGAUGUGAAGUUACUUAAACAACCAGGAGGUUGGCUUAGAAGCAGCCAUCCUUUAAAGAAAGCGUAAUAGCUCACUGGUCUAGUGAUUUUGCGCGGAAAAUAUAACGGGGCUAAAGUAAGUACCGAAGCUGUAGACUUAGUUUACUAAGUGGUAGGAGAGCGUUCUAUUUGCGUCGAAGGUAUACCGGUAAGGAGUGCUGGAGCGAAUAGAAGUGAGCAUGCAGGCAUGAGUAGCGAUAAUUAAUGUGAGAAUCAUUAACGCCGUAAACCCAAGGUUUCCUACGCGAUGCUCGUCAUCGUAGGGUUAGUCGGGUCCUAAGUCGAGUCCGAAAGGGGUAGACGAUGGCAAAUUGGUUAAUAUUCCAAUACCAACAUUAGUGUGCGAUGGAAGGACGCUUAGGGCUAAGGGGGCUAGCGGAUGGAAGUGCUAGUCUAAGGUCGUAGGAGGUUGUACAGGCAAAUCCGUAUAACAAUACUCCGAGAACUGAAAGGCUUUUUGAAGUCUUCGGAUGGAUAGAAGAACCCCUGAUGCCGUCGAGCCAAGAAAAGUUUCUAAGUUUAGCUAAUGUUGCCCGUACCGUAAAC
rnacentral:rRNA from 1 species